rnacentral:misc_RNA from 2 species
AACGCACAUUGCGCCCCUUGGUAUUCCGAGGGGCAUGCCUAUUCGAGCGUCAUUAUCACCCCUCAAGCGUAGCUUGGUGUUGAGGCCUGCUGUCAAGGCAGCCUCUAAAAUCAGUGGCAGUGCUGUCAGGCUCUAAGCGUAGUAAAAUUCAUCGCUAUAGACACCUGGUGGACACUCGCCAGAACCCCCCCAUUUUUUAAUGAUUGACCUCGGAUUAGGUAGGGAUACCCGCUGAACUUAA